rnacentral:lncRNA from 1 species
UUAGGAUUUGCUGGCUGCAGUCUUGUUCAUUCCCAUUCAGGAAUACAGCUGCCUCCCUGUGUCCAAGAUGAAAUGUCAUUGUGUCAUUGCUUCUGCUCCCUGAGGACAGAUUGAUGGCUACUGACACAAUCACCCAGGGCCAGAAACUGCCGCUUGCCCUCUCCACUCUCCACGGAGAGCCCCACAGCAGAACCCCAAAAGAAUUUCAACUUCAUACCAAGUGUCCCUGUGGCUCUUGCGGUGGCCCCAGUGUUCUGCUGGAGAGAAAACAGGGCGCUGAUGGCUGGAUGGAAAGUAAGGAAUGGUCCUCCCGCUGCAGUCUUUGCUCCCAGGUGGCUCCUGGAAAAUUCUGGGUGGGGCUCCUGAAUGGCUCAGUUGGUUAACCAACUGCCGUCUGCUCAGGUCACGAUCCUGCAGUCCCGGGAUCAAGUGCCACAUUGGGCUCCCAGCUCCAUGGGGAGUCUGCUUCUCCCUCUGAUCUUCUCCCCUCUCAUGCUCGCUCUCCCUCUCGUGCUCUCUCUCUCUCAAAUAAAUAAAUAAGAGUUUUUUAAAAAAAAGAGUUAAAAAAACCCACAAUGCCCUUAUUUUAAAAAAAAGAAGAAGAAGAAGAAAAAAGAAAGAAAGAAAGAAAGAAAGAGAGAGAGAGAGAGAAAAGAAAAGAAAAGAAAAUUCUACAUCUCCAAGGGGGUAAGAAGUCAAGCUGAGCCCCAGGUGCAAAGGCAC